CAUUUUUCAUAUAAAUUGGACGAUACAGCCAAUCAUUUACUUUCAUAAAAAACUAUCUUAAGAAAACCAAGUCUUCUCUUGUUGCAUAAUUCCCUUCCCCACAUCAUGUCUAUGAAGAGUGUAUUUUUUCUCCUAUCGGUUAUAUGCUUUGCAAAUUCUGUGAAUGCUCAAUUACCUUCGUUUUGGCCUAACGUGACCCAAUGCCUAUCAACAUUGAAAAAUAUUUCGGGAUGUUUUGAAGGGAUCACUCAGUCUAUAUUGACUGGUAAAAUUGGUACGAUAACUCCUUAUUGUUGUAGACUUUUUUUGGGAGCUGUACCCGACUGUUUAGAACUACUUCCUGUCAAUCCUUUUCCUCCUAUGUUAAUGCAGAAAUGCUCCCAUAAUAUUUAAGAUUAUAUUUUAAAAUAGUUAUGUAAAAUUACAUUUUCUACAUAAAGGUUAAAUCCAAUAAUAUUCAAGAACAAAAGGAAGAUCUGAUAAUUCUAAUGUUCCUUUCUUAUAUUUUAGUCUAUGUAGCUUUCAUAUAAUAAUGCUUAUUAUUAUUUGAUUAAGAGGAUAUCCUUUUAAUAUCAAAAAUGUAUAUCAAUGAAGUUUAAGAAUAUGAUUAAUAUAAUUUCAAAGACAUGUCACUGAGGUUGGUUAAUGAAAGAAUCAUUUCUCUUUUUUUUUACCAACUUCAGUUUUCUAAUAACAUGACAAAACAAAAAUGACAACGAUUAAAAAAUAGAGAAACUAGAUAGAUAGGAUUUUUUUUUAACGCUGGUUUAUUAUGAUAUUACAAUUAUAAUAUAAGAAAGAUUACAUAGACGAUUCAAUAACUGACAAUACCACCUGCCUACUUACGCAUAAUUGCAUCACCUGAGCCGCGUAUGGAAAUCCACGUCUGACCAGAUUUACUUGCACAAUGUUAAAGAUCAUUUGUAAGUAUUUCUUUCAUAGUCUACAUAAUUGUUUAAUAAAUUGCUUUCUCCAGAAUUUGAAACCUGAAUUUUAUGUAAUCUGUAAAAAAUUGUAUAGUCAGGGAUUAGAUCUUCAGACUUGGAUAUAGAAACUUUUAAACUUUAACCAGCGGGCUACGGUGUUUCUAUGAUAAAUAGGUCUAAGACAAGUAUUUUUGUCACACUCUUUGUGUAAUUGCGAUAUAGCUGGCGGAGAUUUCCACACCUUAGAAGACAAACUUCAAAAUCGCUCAUCACACCUAUUUGGUCCAUAAGUUUCCGAUAGCAAGUCUAAUUUUUCAUUUAUAAUACCGCAAACACAUCCAUUAUACUUACCAAAUUAUACAAAAUUUACUUGACUGAUAUGAAUAUAUAUCUCGCAAGCACAAAGAACCAGCAACAUACAUUUCAAGGAAAACCUAACCACAAUCAGAGCCCGGACCUGAGAUUACGAGACUCAUCUAAAAAAAUACAAUUUUAUUUUUAAUAUGAAGACAUAAAUUUUAUAUUAAUUGAUAUAAAGAUGUCUAUUCAUUAGGUCAGUCACAAAUUUUAAUCUUUUUUGUUAUAGCUAAUUUUAACUGAACAUCACCAAAUUUCUUCAAAAUUACAAUAAUAAUAUCCACUAGACAUUAUUUGAGAAGUGAUUUGACACAUGUUCUCUCUACAAUUAUUUUCAUAAAAGAAAUGUGACUUGACUACUAAAAUUGAUGACAAUGUUUAUUGCUAAAUAUGACAUUAUAAAUUACAUUAAUUAUUGAUUUAUAUUUUUAGUAAAUCUUUUAUAAUAUGAUAAUAACUCAUACAUUACAUUUAAUAUUGAUUUAUAUUUUUGGUAAAUUUUUUAGAAUAUGACAAUAACUCAUACCUUUUUGUCAACAAUAAUAACUCAUACAUCAUUACUAAAAUAAAAAAAUUCAAAUAUGAAAUUAUAAUUUUUGAAAUAUUAUUCAAUUAUAUUUUUUUAUAUUUUCUACAAUUUUGCUUAAAACAUUAUAAAUUUUAGAAAUACUGUUUAAUUUUAAUUUUUGAUAAUUAUACAAUUUUAUAUCAAUUUUUUAUUAAUUUUAUGCAAGUUGAUUUAAUAUAUUUAACCAAAAGAAAUAUAUAAAAAUAUCUAUCUAAUAUUAUAUAUAUAUAUGCAUUCUUAAAUAUAUUUUAAAAAUAAUAAAUUAUUUUUAAUUCUGUUUCAUGUUUAACUAAAUCAAAUUUACAUUAAAAUAUUGAUAAGAAAAUAAUAAAAUUUACAUUAUUAAUAAAAUUUUAUUUUUAAAUAUAAUUUCAAUUUAAAUUUUUUAUUGAUGCACAUGGUGCAUGAAAACACUUACUAUAAUAAUACAUUUGCUAAAUAAAUUUAACUCUUAUCUUCCAAAAAGAAAACAAAUCUAAGUUAUUAUUAUGAUCAAACAGAAAUUCUUACACUCAUAUAUCACAUUCACACAGGUUCAAAGAGAAGAAAAAAAAAGGAUUCAAAAGAAAAAAGCAAUGCAUGAGUCAUAUACAUAUUUAAAAUAUUAAUUAUGUAAGUUAUAAUUCAUGCUUAUUAUAUGAUAUUGACAUUAAAAAAUAUUUGGAUUCACUUUAAGUUCUAUUUUAAGGCAAUACUCUACGCGGUAGUUAUUAACUAAUAAAAUCAUGGUAACGUACCACAGUGCGGAUAGGUAGCAAAAGUUAUAAAGCUUAUCCACUGUGGAAAAUUCUGAGUUUCUUCUGUUUCUUUGAUUAAGGAGAUCUCUAUGCAACUUUUCCUCAAAUUAUUAAUUUAUACAUUUUGUUUUUUGAAAAAAUGUUAAAUUAAUUCAAACAAAAAAUACUGUUUACAAUCAAGGUUGCUUGUUUUAAGUUCAAAAGAAACUAAAACUUUGCUUUACAUUAGAAAAUAAGAUCAUGUAAAGGAGAACCAAGUUCCCAUAGCAUAGAUCCCUGGUAAGCUGAGUUGUGGCGACAUAUGAUGCUUGAGAUACGAUUUUGAACUUGUUUGUCGAUGAUUUUUAAUUUAUGAAAUUACAUCACAUGUGAACAUAUAAAGUGAAUUUCAGCUAUUCGGAUAUGGACAUAUCUAUAUAUAUCUCUUAGAAUAUAUUCUCACUAAUUUGCAUAUAUCUUAUAAAUCUAGUUUAGGAAUGAAAACCUUGUAUAAAGAGAAUGUCUUGGACCUAAAGAUUGAUACAGAAAACCUUUUACGAUACUCUUGUUUUCUGACAUAGCAUCAGAGCCAGGUUUUCUGACAUGGUAUCUUGUUAAAAUUUACACAAUUAAAAUAAGUACAUGAACCCAAACCUGAACUGAACCUGCAAUGAUCCAAACCAUAUUCAAACCGAAAUUUGUAAAUAUUUAAAUCAUAUUUAAAUUUCUAACUAUAAAAAACUGAUAUCUGAAUAGAUUAACUAAAUUCGAAUAGAUAUCUGAUUCUAGAAAAAAAUAUCAACAAAUCUCUUAUUACAAGCAAAGUAAAUAAUUUAAUCAAUUAUUUUAUUCUGCGCACAACGCGGAUUACUAUCUAGUUUAUAAGAAAAACGGUGAAGAGAUUCUAAACAUAAAGCGUGCGGAAAAAAAAACUUAUAUGAGUAUUAUGAUAAAGAUUUUUUAACACAUUUGAGCAUGGUCAAUACUGAAUAGUAUAGAUUGUUUCUAUUAUUAUAUCAAUCUCGCAUGUGGUCAAUUAGUAUAUUUUCUUUCCUAUUAUUAUUGUAUCAAACUAUCAAUAUUAUAUGUGUUAGUAGUAUAUAUUCUCUUUCCUAUUAUCAUUGUUUUUAUUAAUUGUUUCAUACUCCAUUUUUCAUAUAAAUUGGACGAUACAGCCAAUCAUUUACUUUCAUAAAAAACUAUCUUAAGAAAACCAAUUCUUCUCUUGUUGCAUAAUUCCCUUCCCCACAUCAUGUCUACGAAGAGUGUAUUUUUUCUCCUAUCGGUUAUAUGCUUUACAAAUUCUGUGAAUGCUCAAUUACCUUCGUUUUGGCCUAACGUGACCCAAUGCCUAUCAACAUUGAAAAAUAUUCCGGGAUGUUUUGAAGGGAUCACUCAGUCUAUAUUGACUGGUAAAAUUGGUACGAUAACUCCUUAUUGUUGUCAACUUUUUUUGGGAGCUGUACCCGACUGUUUAGAACUACUUCCUGUCAAUCCUUUUCCUCCUAUGUUAAUGCAGAAAUGCUCCCAUAAUAUUUAAGAUUAUAUUUUAAAAUAGUUAUGUAAAAUUACAUUUUCUACAUAAGGGUUAAAUCCAAUAAUAUUCAAGA
rnacentral:lncRNA from 1 species